rnacentral:rRNA from 1 species
UACGGGGGGGGCAAGCGUUGUUCGAAAUUACUGGGCGUAAAGGGCUUGUAGGCGGCCAACUAAGUCAGACGUGAAAUCCCUCGGCUUAACCGGGGAACUGCGUCUGAUACUGGAUGGCUUGAGUUUGGGAGAGGGACGCGGAAUUCCAGGUGUAGCGGUGAAAUGCGUAGAUAUCUGGAGGAACACCGGUGGCGAAGGCGGCGUCCUGGACCAACACUGACACUGAGGAGCGAAAGCCAGGGGAGCAAACGGG